AUUGAACGCUGGCGGCAUGCUUUACACAUGCAAGUCGAACGGUAACAGGCCGCAAGGUGCUGACGAGUGGCGAACGGGUGAGUAAUGCAUCGGAACGUGCCCAGUCGUGGGGGAUAACGCAGCGAAAGGUGUGCUAAUACCGCAUACGCUCUAUGGAUGAAAGCGGGGGACCGUAAGGCCUCGCGCGAUUGGAGCGGCCGAUGUCAGAUAAGGUAGUUGGUGGGGUAAAGGCUCACCAAGCCAACGAUCUGUAGCUGGUCUGAGAGGACGACCAGCCACACUGGGACUGAGACACGGCCCAGACUCCUACGGGAGGCAGCAGUGGGGAAUUUUGGACAAUGGGCGCAAGCCUGAUCCAGCAAUGCCGCGUGCAGGAAGAAGGCCUUCGGGUUGUAAACUGCUUUUGUACGGAACGAAACGGUCUGGGUUAAUACCCUGGGCUAAUGACGGUACCGUAAGAAUAAGCACCGGCUAACUACGUGCCAGCCGCCGCCGUAACAC
rnacentral:rRNA from 1 species